AACAGUUGUAGUUGUAAUGGAUCAGUUGUAGUGUACUGUAACAGUUGUCCUUGUGCUUGCUCAUGUGUAAAUGUACUAGCUCAGUUGUGGUUGUACUGGUUCCAGUAUAGUUGAAGUUGUAGUAUAGGAGUAGGUGUACUUGAUCAGUUGUGGGUGUACUGGAUCAGUUGUGGGUGUACUGGAUCAGUUGAAGGUGUAAUGGAUUAGUUGUAGGUGUACUUGAUCGGUUGUGGGUGUACUGGAUCAGUUGUGGGUGUACUGGAUCAGUUGUGGGUGUACUUGAUCAGUUGUGGGUGUACUGGAUCAGUCGUGGGUGUACUGGAUCAGUUGUGGGUGUACUGGAUCAGUCGUGGGUGUACUGGAUCAGUCGUGGGUGUACUGGAUCAGUUGUAGGUGUACUUGAUCAGUUGUGGGUGUACUGGAUCAGUCGUGGUGUACUGGAUCAGUUGUGGGUGUACUGGAUCAGGUUUUUGUAUACUAGUUCAGUUGUAGUUGAUCUGAUACAGUAGUUACUGUACUGUAGAUGUAGGUGUGUGUGUGUAUGUGUGUGUGUGUGUGUGUGUGUGUGUGUGUGUGUUUUAACAAUGUUAGUUUAUUUAAAAUCUGUCCAGUGACCAUUCAAAACCAGCUCAGUGAUCAACGAAACCUGUCCAGUUCCAAAGCUCACCAUAUAUUUCAAACAUAUCACAUAUUUAUAAUGAAACAGUUUUAAUACUAUAGGUUUCCUAAACAGUAAUUUAAUUGUUGUCAUUCAAUUUCAUAUUAUUGUUUACGGGUGUCUUAGGUUUUGAGCAAAUAUGAUCAACCAGUACAACGGUGUCAGUGUGCCUUGACAUAAUUUCUACAAGUCUCUGGAACGGUACUGGAGGGAUUCUUUCCAAAGAUAUAUACCCUGAUGAUGGUGAGCACUUUUUUAAUACAUCAGUUCAAAACCUCCCAUAGGUGUUCAGUUGGGUUGAGAUCUGCUGACUGCGAAGGCCAUAGCAUAGCAUAGACAUCGGAUUUAU
ensembl:lncRNA